rnacentral:rRNA from 1 species
AUACGUAGGUGGCAAGCGUUGUCCGGAAUUAUUGGGCGUAAAGCGCGCGCAGGUGGUUCCUUAAGUCUGAUGUGAAAGCCCCCGGCUCAACCGGGGAGGGUCAUUGGAAACUGGGGAACUUGAGUGCAGAAGAGGAUAGUGGAAUUCCAAGUGUAGCGGUGAAAUGCGUAGAGAUUUGGAGGAACACCAGUGGCGAAGGCGACUGUCUUGUCUGUAACGGACACUUAGGCGCGAAAGCGUGGGGAGCAAACAGGAUUAGAUACCCUGGUAGUCCACGCUGUAAACGAUGAGUGCUAAGUGUUGGGGGGUUUCCGCCCCUCAGUGCUGCAGCUAACGCAUUAAGCACUCCGCCUGGGGAGUACGGUCGCAAGACUUAAACUUAAAGGAAUUGACGGGG